AACGAACGCUGGCGGCAUGCCUAACACAUGCAAGUCGAACGAGACCUUCGGGUCUAGUGGCGCACGGGUGCGUAACGCGUGGGAACCUGCCCUUAGGUUCGGAAUAACUCCCCGAAAGGGGUGCUAAUACCGGAUAAUGUCUUCGGACCAAAGAUUUAUCGCCUUUGGAUGGGCCCGCGUUGGAUUAGCUAGUUGGUAGGGUAAAAGCCUACCAAGGCGACGAUCCAUAGCUGGUCUGAGAGGAUGAUCAGCCACACUGGGACUGGGACACGGCCCAGACUCCUGCGGGAGGCAGCAGUGGGGAAUCUUGGACAAUGGGCGAAAGCCUGAUCCAGCAAUGCCGCGUGAGUGAUGAAGGCCUUAGGGUUGUAAAGCUCUUUUACCCGGGAUGAUAAUGACAGUACCGGGAGAAUAAGCUCCGGCGAACUCCGU
rnacentral:rRNA from 1 species